rnacentral:tRNA from 2 species
GCCGACUUAGCUCAGUUGGUAGAGCAACUGAUUCGUAAUCAGUAGGUCCGCGGUUCGAAUCCGCGAGUCGGCACCA